rnacentral:lncRNA from 1 species
AAUAUUCGAAAUCACCUUCCACUUUCGUGUUUGACUUUGAUGAAGAGAUAUCCCAUCUAGCAUCAGUAUGUCUGCGCGAAUAACUUUAGCCAUUACCCUUGCUACCAUCUCUCUGCUACUUAUAUUUACGACCACAGUUGUUGAAGCUUCGAGAGACCCAUUUUUCGUCAUGUCAAAUUGUAGUGGAGCCUGCGAUAAGGAUUCAAACAAACAGAACGACGGUUGUCCAGAGCACUGUCAAUGCACAUUGCUUCCAGGAGGAAAUUCUGGAAGCCAGAAAGGAGACUGUACCAAUCUUCCUGCUGACCAUCCAAGUCGUCGAACCUAAUGAUAUUACUGAUUAUGCCAGAGUAACUAAAUAAAAUUGUCAUUUCAACAGGAA